rnacentral:rRNA from 1 species
UACGUAGGUGGCAAGCGUUGUCCGGAAUUACUGGGUGUAAAGGGCGUGUAGGCGGGAAGGUAAGUCAGAUGUGAAAUUCCGGGGCUCAACCCCGGCACUGCAUCUGAAACUAUUUUUCUUGAGUGCUGGAGAGGAAAGCGGAAUUCCUAGUGUAGCGGUGAAAUGCGUAGAUAUUAGGAGGAACACCAGUGGCGAAGGCGGCUUUCUGGACAGUAACUGACGCUGAGGCGCGAAGGCCAGGGGAGCAAACGGG